UACAGAGGGUGCGAGCGUUGUCCGGAAUCACUGGGCGUAAAGGGCGCGUAGGUGGCGGGCCAAGUCCAUGGUGAAAGCUCGAUGCUCAACAUCGAGUCGGCCACGGAUACUGGUUCGCUGGAGCACUGUAGAGGCAGAUGGAAUUCCGGGUGUAGCGGUGGAAUGCGUAGAGAUCCGGAAGAACACCGGUGGCGAAGGCGGUCUGACUGG
rnacentral:rRNA from 1 species